UGGGGAAUAUUGCACAAUGGGGGAAACCCUGAUGCAGCGACGCCGCGUGAACGAAGAAGGUAUUCGUAUCGUAAAGUUCUGUCCUAUGGGAAGAUAAUGACAGUACCAUAGAAGAAAGCUCCGGCUAAAUACGUGCCAGCAGCCGCGGUAAUACGUAUGGUGCGAGCGUUGUCCGGAAUUAUUGGGCGUAAAGGGUACGCAGGCGGUUUAAUAAGUCGAAUGUUAAAGAUCGGGGCUCAACCCCGUAAAGCAUUGGAAACUGAUAAACUUGAGUAGUGGAGAGGAAAGUGGAAUUCCUAGUGUAGUGGUGAAAUACGUAGAUAUUAGGAGGAAUACCAGUAGCGAAGGCGACUUUCUGGACACAAACUGACGCUGAGGUACGAAAGCGUGGGGAGCAAACAGG
rnacentral:rRNA from 1 species